UACAUGCAAGUCGAGCGAACGGACGAGAAGCUUGCUUCUCUGAUGUUAGCGGCGGACGGGUGAGUAACACGUGGAUAACCUACCUAUAAGACUGGGAUAACUUCGGGAAACCGGAGCUAAUACCGGAUAAUAUUUUGAACCGCAUGGUUCAAAAGUGAAAGACGGUCUUGCUGUCACUUAUAGACGGAUCCGCGCUGCAUUAGCUAGUUGGUAAGGUAACGGCUUACCAAGGCAACGAUGCAUAGCCGACCUGAGAGGGUGAUCGGCCACACUGGAACUGAGACACGGUCCAGACUCCUACGGGAGGCAGCAGUAGGGAAUCUUCCGCAAUGGGCGAAAGCCUGACGGAGCAACGCCGCGUGAGUGAUGAAGGUCUUCGGAUCGUAAAACUCUGUUAUUAGGGAAGAACAUAUGUGUAAGUAACUGUGCACAUCUUGACGGUACCUAAUCAGAAAGCCACGGCUAACUACGUGCCAGCAGCCGCGGUAAUACGUAGGUGGCAAGCGUUAUCCGGAAUUAUUGGGCGUAAAGCGCGCGUAGGCGGUUUUUUAAGUCUGAUGUGAAAGCCCACGGCUCAACCGUGGAGGGUCAUUGGAAACUGGAAAACUUGAGUGCAGAAGAGGAAAGUGGAAUUCCAUGUGUAGCGGUGAAAUGCGCAGAGAUAUGGAGGAACACCAGUGGCGAAGGCGACUUUCUGGUCUGUAACUGACGCUGAUGUGCGAAAGCGUGGGGAUCAAACAGGAUUAGAUACCCUGGUAGUCCACGCCGUAAACGAUGAGUGCUAAGUGUUAGGGGGUUUCCGCCCCUUAGUGCUGCAGCUAACGCAUUAAGCAC
rnacentral:rRNA from 1 species